rnacentral:rRNA from 1 species
GAUAAACGCUAGCGGCAGGCUUAACACAUGCAAGUCGAGGGGCAGCAUAGAUUGUAGCAAUACAAGUCGUGGCGACCGGCGCACGGGUGCGUAACGCGUAUGCAACCUACCCGUCACAGGGGGAUAAUCCGGAGAAAUCUGGUCGAAUACCCCAUAACAUAUGGAUCGGCAUCGGUUUAUGUUGAAUUGUUCGGAGGUGACGGAUGGGCAUGCGUAGCAUUAGCUUGUUGGUGAGGUAACGGCUCGCCAAGGCGACGAUGCUUAGGGGGACUGAGAGGUUUUCCCCCCACACUGGUACUGAGACACGGACCAGACUCCUACGGGAGGCAGCAGUGAGGAAUAUCGGUCAAUGGGCGCAAGCCUGAACCAGCCAUGCCGCGUGCAGGAUGACGGCUCUAUGAGUUGUAAACUGCUUUUGUACGAGGGUAAAGUGGGUUACGUGUAACCUUUUGGCAGUAUCGUACGAAUAAGGAUCGGCUAACUCCGUGCCAGCCGCCGCCGUAA